CCUACGGGAGGCAGCAGUGAGGAAUAUUGGUCAAUGGACGAAAGCCUGAACCAGCCAUGUCGCGUGCAGGAAGACGGCUCUAUGAGUUGUAAACUGCUUUUGUACAAGGGUAAAGCUCGAUACGUGUAUCUAGCUGUAAGUACUGUAAGAAUAAGGAUCGGCUAACUCCGUGCCAGCAGCCGCGGUAAUACGGAGGAUCCGAGCGUUAUCCGGAUUUAUUGGGUUUAAAGGGUGCGUAGGGGGGUUGUUAAGUUAGAUGUGAAAUGUUCGGGCUCAACCCGGGAACUGCAUUUGAUACUGGUAGUCUUGAGUGUAGGAGAGGUAGGCGGAAUGUGUGGUGUAGCGGUGAAAUGCUUAGAGAUCAUGCAGAACUCCGAUUGCGAAGGCAGCUUACUAAUCUGCAACUGACGUUGAGGCACGAAAGCGUGGGGAGCAAACAGGAUUAGAUACCCCAGUAGUC
rnacentral:rRNA from 1 species